rnacentral:rRNA from 1 species
UACGAAGGGGGCUAGCGUUGUUCGGAGUUACUGGGCGUAAAGGGCGCGUAGGCGGCGCACCAAGUCAGGCGUGAAAGCCCUGGGCUCAACACGGGAAUUGCGCUUGAGACUGGUGUGCUUGAGUACGGGAGAGGAUAGUGGAAUUCCCAGUGUAGAGGUGAAAUUCGUAGAUAUUGGGAAGAACACCGGUGGCGAAGGCGGCCUGCUGGGCAGUGGCUGACACUGAGGCGCGACAGCGUGGGGAGCAAACAGG